rnacentral:misc_RNA from 1 species
AUUGGGAACCAUUCUCUCCAAAUCCUCUAGCAUCCAUUUUUCCAUCCUUCCCAAUUGUCUGCCUUCUCCCAUAAGGCUCAGACAUGGGAGAUUUUAACCUCUUUGUUUUGUCCAUGUCAUAUGCUAGUGGUUCAAUCCCCUGCAAAUCAGGCUCUGGAACAAAGCCAAUAGGCCGUUUUUCAUCAUCCAUUUUUCUAAAUGUGAUAGAUAUCCUCUUUGAUGUAACUGAAGGCACACAGUGCUUAGACACAUCAGCUGCAUUUCCAUUUAACACAAGAACAGAUCCUACAGGUAGAGGGAUUGCAAUUGAUCCAGUAAACUCGCCAGCACGCACAACCUUCAAGUUAGUUCCAAAUACUAUAUUGCACUCGCUAACAAAUGACACCGUGCAGAAAGGCCGAACAAAAUCAUGAUUGUCAAUAUGUGGAGGUAUACAGUCCCCUUUAUCAUAAAUAUUAACAAUGCAACUAUCAGGUACACAAGUCGGGGGGAGAACAUGCCACUUGAUCAGCCAUCUAAUGAUCACUUUAAAGAGCUUAGGUAUAGGAUCUACAAUUUCAUUCUGGAGGAUGCCAGGUGGAUUACCAUUUUUGUCUGUUGCAUAAUUGUAACAACAACCAAAUUGGAUGGUUACGCGCCCUUUGCCCCUCAUCCACUUCUGUGGGGCUGUAUAUGUUCUCUCUUUCAGUUUUCCUUUGCUCCCCAACUCUUGGAGUUCAUGCACAUAAUUAACUAUUCUUGUCUGCUCUACAGCACUGAAAACAAGAGAGUGUAGUUCAAGUCCCUCAAGAAUAUUAACAAUCUUUCCUUUGACCCUCUCCAAACAAAUAAAAUC